CUUUAUUGUAAUGAUGAAAUGAAUGAGUAACGUAAUAUCCAAACCACGUGGUCAAAAGGGAAAUACCUGAUAUCUGAAAAAGACAAAAAGAGAUUUCAUAUUCAAUAAAAAAAAAGAACAUGGAUGGAAAGAAAUAUAUUGUCUAUAAUUUAGUGGUAUCAAUUAGUAUAUGUUCCAUUCUAGUACAAGGAAAUACAACCGUAACUGGUAAGAUUUAUUAUUUUGUAUCUUUUUCUACAAUUACUGGUCUUAGUAUUUUUCUAUGCUUUGUCAUUUCUUUGUUCAUUAAACAAAGCUUUAAAUAUUUUAAUCAAAACCAUAUAGAUACCUUUUGGACGAUUUAAUUAAAAUCUGUAACCCAUACACAUUAUUAGAUUAUCUUUGAAUAAAUAUUCAUAACAUUAGUUAUUUGACGACUUAUCAUAGUGAUAGACUAAAUAAAUUGAGGACAAUAACAGAAUUGAUUAUACAACCGGUAUUUAUAUAAAUGAGAUAACCGUUAAUAUUGAUGAUGUUCAUGUCGAUAGUAAACAAAGUAAGGACCCAUUCAUGUUACACUAUUAUUAAUAACCAUUUUAAACAGCUUGUUAGUUGAAGCGUAAUACCGAAAAGGGGGUAUGAUCAGCUUUACAAGUAUUUUGAAAAUGUAAAGAAAAGAUUUUCUUAUUCAUCAUAUAUAUCAGAGGACAGAUUAUUCAUUUAAUUAUACUAUUAUUCAAAUACAUAUCAACAAAACUACAUAUUAAACAUACAUUCGAAUUGUCCGUUUGAAAAAUAAAAUAAAUAUCUCUCGAUUUUAAGAUUUAUAGGAUAUAAAUGAAAUAUAGUAAGUAAAUGUAACAUUAUAAAUUUACUACAAACUGAGGCAAUACUAAAGAUGCAUGGAAAUUUAAAGUAAUCAAAGGACAAAAACUCAUAGCCAUAGACAACCCCGCCCCCAAAAAAAUUAAAAUAAAAAAAAUAAAUAAAAUAAAUAAAAUAAAUAAAAUAAAUAAAAUAAAUUAAAUAAAUUAAAUAAAUUAAAUAAGAUAAACAGUGAAAAAUGAAAAAAAAAAAAAUCACCAAAAAAACCAAACACAACCAGAACAUGGUACACAGAAAAACUUGAAAUCUGUUUUGUUUUUGUGGUUAAACAAACGUUUUUCUAACAAUAACAUUUCAUAUGUUUAGAUUAGAUAGAAAGACAAGAAUGAUCACAACAAAACUUCAUAUCAGUGGUGACGACAAUUGUUACUUGUCAAUCACAAGUUGUGACCGAUAGGGGAAUUUAUCACUCAUAACUAAAAUUGACGUGUUGACUUGCACUUUUAAAGAAGUACAUGUAUAUUAAUAUAAUACAACCUCAAAUGACUGGCACUCUGAAUUAUGCAGGC
rnacentral:lncRNA from 1 species